AGUGAACGCUGGCGGUAGGCCUAACACAUGCAAGUCGAACGGCAGCACAGAGGAGCUUGCUCCUUGGGUGGCGAGUGGCGGACGGGUGAGGAAUACAUCGGAAUCUACUCUGUCGUGGGGGAUAACGUAGGGAAACUUACGCUAAUACCGCAUACGACCUACGGGUGAAAGCAGGGGACCUUCGGGCCUUGCGCGAUUGAAUGAGCCGAUGUCGGAUUGGCUAGUUGGCGGGGUAAAGGCCCACCAAGGCGACGAUCCGUAGCUGGUCUGGGAGGAUGAUCAGCCACACUGGACAUGAGACACGGUCCAGACUCCUACGGGAGGCAGCAGUGGGGAAUAUUGGACAAUGGGCGCAAGCCUGAUCCAGCCAUACCGCGUGGGUGAAGAAGGCCUUCGGGUUGUAAAGCCCUUUUGUUGGGAAAGAAAUCCAGCUGGUUAAUACCCGGUUGGGAUGACGGUACCCAAAGAAUAAGCACCGGCUAACUUCGUGCCAGCCGCCGCAGUAA
rnacentral:rRNA from 1 species